GGGAAUUUUAUUAUGGACAAAUGAGAAUGUAGCUACAAUGUGUGUCAAAAUGGAUUUCCUAUUUCCUAUUUUGUACAUGUUUAGCUGGGACUUUCAUGGGAGAUGGGCUUCAGAAUGAUAUUCCCCUGAGCCAUCUUCCGGAAGGACUUGUCUCAGUCUGUCAGGCUCAGAGAACCGGUGUGAGAGGCCACACAUAUGGAGCAACCCCAACCCACUGAGGCACUCAACACAGAAAAGCCGACCAGUGAACAUCAAGGCUCACAGUGCAACAUGGAAAAACUGCUCCUCCUACUCAAGCCAGUGAAUAGGUCCCAGGGCUUAAAGUAUUUAGACGCUGUGUGGGCUUAAGGGCCCAGAGAGGCCAGGACAGCAGCAUUUGCAGUCAGAUGUCAGUGAGGCUGCCGUCUCCUGAGCAGCCACUCGACUCACAUUAUUAAAUUUAAUUCUAACAGCAACUUCUUUUCACAUGUGGGAAAACUAAGGCUCAGGGAGAUUAACUCAUUUGCUGAAGUAUUUAAGCCAGGAUUCAAGUGUAGUCCAAAGCCC
rnacentral:lncRNA from 1 species